GCAGAGGGGCCGGAACGUUUACUUUGAAAAAAUUGGAGUGUUCAAAGCAGGCCUCGCGCCUGAACAGCAGAGCAUGGAAUAAUGGCAUACA